GGAUGUGAGAUCUAUCUGGCUGUGACUUCUGUCAUCUUACUGAUUAUUAGAGUCAUUUGGCUGAUCUGGCUGGCUAGGUGGGUGUCUCCUUCCUCCCUCACCAUUCCGUGUGUCCUCCCUAAAGCUGCAUGCUUGAUCAAGAAGGACAACCACCCCCAAUAGAGCUGGACUAUUUUGUUGGUUAAGGUAGUUACACUCCCUGCUAGAGCCUCCAAACAAGGUCUCUGUGUCUGAAGGUUUCUGUCCCACCUCCCCAUUCAAAUGGUGAAAUCCUCACUCCUGU
rnacentral:snRNA from 1 species